rnacentral:rRNA from 1 species
UACGUAGGGUGCGAGCGUUGUCCGGAAUUAUUGGGCCUAAAGCAUCCGUAGCCGGCCUUACAAGUCCUCCGUUAAAUCCAGCUGCUUAACAGAUGGGCUGCGGAGGAUACUAUAAGACUAGGAGGCAGGAGAGGCAAGCGGUACUCAGUGGGUAGGGGUAAAAUCCGUUGAUCCAUUGAAGACCACCAGUGGCGAAGGCGGCUUGCCAGAAUGCGCUCGACGGUGAGGGAUGAAAGCUGGGGGAGCAAACCGG